rnacentral:rRNA from 1 species
UGACUGCGUACCUUUUGUAUAAUGGGUCAGCGACUUAUAUUCUGUAGCAAGGUUAACCGAAUAGGGGAGCCGAAGGGAAACCGAGUCUUAACUGGGCGUUAAGUUGCAGGGUAUAGACCCGAAACCCGGUGAUCUAGCCAUGGGCAGGUUGAAGGUUGGGUAACACUAACUGGAGGACCGAACCGACUAAUGUUGAAAAAUUAGCGGAUGACUUGUGGCUGGGGGUGAAAGGCCAAUCAAACCGGGAGAUAGCUGGUUCUCCCCGAAAGCUAUUUAGGUAGCGCCUCGUGAAUUCAUCUCCGGGGGUAGAGCACUGUUUCGGCAAGGGGGUCAUCCCGACUUACCAACCCGAUGCAAACUGCGAAUACCGGAGAAUGUUAUCACGGGAGACACACGGCGGGUGCUAACGUCCGUCGUGAAGAGGGAAACAACCCAGACCGCCAGCUAAGGUCCCAAAGUCAUGGUUAAGUGGGAAACGAUGUGGGAAGGCCCAGACAGCCAGGAUGUUGGCUUAGAAGCAGCCAUCAUUUAAAGAAAGCGUAAUAGCUCACUGGUCGAGUCGGCCUGCGCGGAAGAUGUAACGGGGCUAAACCAUGCACCGAAGCUGCGGCAGCGACGCUUAUGCGUUGUUGGGUAGGGGAGCGUUCUGUAAGCCUGUGAAGGUGUGCUGUGAGGCAUGCUGGAGGUAUCAGAAGUGCGAAUGCUGACAUAAGUAACGAUAAAGCGGGUGAAAAGCCCGCUCGCCGGAAGACCAAGGGUUCCUGUCCAACGUUAAUCGGGGCAGGGUGAGUCGACCCCUAAGGCGAGGCCGAAAGGCGUAGUCGAUGGGAAACAGGUUAAUAUUCCUGUACUUGGUGUUACUGCGAAGGGGGGACGGAGAAGGCUAUGUUGGCCGGGCGACGGUUGUCCCGGUUUAAGCGUGUAGGCUGGUUUUCCAGGCAAAUCCGGAAAAUCAAGGCUGAGGCGUGAUGACGAGGCACUACGGUGCUGAAGCAACAAAUGCCCUGCUUCCAGGAAAAGCCUCUAAGCAUCAGGUAACAUCAAAUCGUACCCCAAACCGACACAGGUGGUCAGGUAGAGAAUACCAAGGCGCUUGAGAGAACUCGGGUGAAGGAACUAGGCAAAAUGGUGCCGUAACUUCGGGAGAAGGCACGCUGAUAUGUAGGUGAAGUCCCUCGCGGAUGGAGCUGAAAUCAGUCGAAGAUACCAGCUGGCUGCAACUGUUUAUUAAAAACACAGCACUGUGCAAACACGAAAGUGGACGUAUACGGUGUGACGCCUGCCCGGUGCCGGAAGGUUAAUUGAUGGGGUCAGCGCAAGCGAAGCUCUUGAUCGAAGCCCCGGUAAACGGCGGCCGUAACUAUAACGGUCCUAAGGUAGCGAAAUUCCUUGUCGGGUAAGUUCCGACCUGCACGAAUGGCGUAAUGAUGGCCAGGCUGUCUCCACCCGAGACUCAGUGAAAUUGAACUCGCUGUGAAGAUGCAGUGUACCCGCGGCAAGACGGAAAGACCCCGUGAACCUUUACUAUAGCUUGACACUGAACAUUGAGCCUUGAUGUGUAGGAUAGGUGGGAGGCUUAGAAGUGUGGACGCCAGUCUGCAUGGAGCCGACCUUGAAAUACCACCCUUUAAUGUUUGAUGUUCUAACGUUGACCCGUAAUCCGGGUUGCGGACAGUGUCUGGUGGGUAGUUUGACUGGGGCGGUCUCCUCCUAAAGAGUAACGGAGGAGCACGAAGGUUGGCUAAUCCUGGUCGGACAUCAGGAGGUUAGUGCAAUGGCAUAAGCCAGCUUGACUGCGAGCGUGACGGCGCGAGCAGGUGCGAAAGCAGGUCAUAGUGAUCCGGUGGUUCUGAAUGGAAGGGCCAUCGCUCAACGGAUAAAAGGUACUCCGGGGAUAACAGGCUGAUACCGCCCAAGAGUUCAUAUCGACGGCGGUGUUUGGCACCUCGAUGUCGGCUCAUCACAUCCUGGGGCUGAAGUAGGUCCCAAGGGUAUGGCUGUUCGCCAUUUAAAGUGGUACGCGAGCUGGGUUUAGAACGUCGUGAGACAGUUCGGUCCCUAUCUGCCGUGGGCGCUGGAGAACUGAGGGGGGCUGCUCCUAGUACGAGAGGACCGGAGUGGACGCAUCACUGGUGUUCGGGUUGUCAUGCCAAUGGCACUGCCCGGUAGCUAAAUGCGGAAGAGAUAAGUGCUGAAAGCAUCUAAGCACGAAACUUGCCCCGAGAUGAGUUCU